AGUGAACGCUGGCGGUAGGCCUAACACAUGCAAGUCGAACGGCAGCACAGUAAGAGCUUGCUCUUACGGGUGGCGAGUGGCGGACGGGUGAGGAAUACAUCGGAAUCUACUUUUUCGUGGGGGAUAACGUAGGGAAACUUACGCUAAUACCGCAUACGACCUACGGGUGAAAGCGGGGAUCUUCGGACCUUGCGCGAUUGAAUGAGCCGAUGUCGGAUUAGCUAGUUGGCGGGGUAAAGGCCCACCAAGGCGACGAUCCGUAGCUGGUCUGAGAGGAUGAUCAGCCACACUGGAACUGAGACACGGUCCAGACUCCUACGGGAGGCAGCAGUGGGGAAUAUUGGACAAUGGGCGCAAGCCUGAUCCAGCCAUACCGCGUGGGUGAAGAAGGCCUUCGGGUUGUAAAGCCCUUUUGUUGGGAAAGAAAAGCAGCAGGUUAAUACCCCGCUGUUCUGACGGUACCCAAAGAAUAAGCACCGGCUAACUUCGUG
rnacentral:rRNA from 1 species